UACGUAGGUGGCAAGCGUUGUCCGGAAUUAUUGGGCGUAAAGCGCGCGCAGGCGGUCCUUUAAGUCUGAUGUGAAAGCCCACGGCUCAACCGUGGAGGGUCAUUGGAAACUGGGGGACUUGAGUGCAGGAGAGGAAUGCGGAAUUCCAGGUGUAGCGGUGAAAUGCGUAGAUAUCUGGAGGAACACCGGUGGCGAAGGCGGCAUUCUGGACUGCAACUGACACUGAAAGACGAAAGCCAGGGGAGCAAACGGG
rnacentral:rRNA from 1 species